rnacentral:lncRNA from 1 species
GAAAUUGGGCAGAACACGGAGGCGGUUCGCAACUCCAUCACUGAUCUCAAUCGGUUCGGGAAGGUCGUAAAGAUUGAAGCUUUUAACCCUUUUGAGUCAGCCCUUGACGCCCUCAAUCAAUGCAAUGCUGUUUCUGAAGGGCAAAUGACCGAGGAGCUAAGGAACUUCUUGGAGCGAAGUCUCCCAAAAGUCAAGGAGGGUAAGAACUGUAAAUUUUUUGCAGAUAGAAUUUGUUAAUUUUGUUCUCUUUGCUCUUUUGUAUAAAUUUUAUGUAUAGUCACUUUUUGGGCGUCUGCAUGUGUGGUUUUAGCUCUUUCAUUUGAUGGGGUUUUCAGUUUGUUUGAGUUUUGGCUGAGGUAGUGACAUUGUGGUUGUGCGGCAUGGUGACUGAAGUCUCAUAUUAAAAAAGAGAUUUUUUAAUUGUAAGUUUCUUUGAAGUAGAAGUGUCUGUUUUUUGGUGUUCCAAGAUUUUCAUGGGGUCAAACGAUAGUGCUUUUGAUGUAUUGCAGGUUAUUCUCAAUUACUUCUUUUGUUUUGUUGCAUUAGCUAGGUCUUUAUGCUCCAAAAAAAACCCCAGUUCUGAAAUUCUAAAAUUUAGAAGAUUACAAUUGCAUAGGAUUUAAGUUCUAUACAUGUGCAAUGUGUUUCACACUAAUAAUAUGAUUUUACUGCUUGUAGAUUAACCUUCUUUAUUUUCCAGGUCAUAAAUCCACAUUCCCUACUGAUGUUACCUUUAGUUGGUUUUUAAGUAACUUAAUAGUGUUAAAAUGCUGAGAAAACGUGGGUGCUCCAAUUGUCUGACACGCCGAGCUAUUUGAUACUUACCCCUCAGUUUUGUUCUUGUAUUUAUUGGUCUGACUGGAUUUUUGGAAUUGGGAUUUCAGGGCAAAUGACUGAGGAGCUAAGGAACUUCUUGGAGCGUAGUCUCCCAAAAGUCAAGGAGGGUAAGAAGGCUAAGUUCAGUUUAGGAUUGGCAGAGCCUAAGCUUGGUUCUCAUAUCCAUGAAGUAACUAAGAUUCCCUGCC